rnacentral:snoRNA from 2 species
AUCCUUUCGUAGUUCUUGAGUGUGAGGAUCGGGUACUCACACUCAGGUGUGAGAUGUGCCACCCUCGAACCUCAUUUUGAAGUCAGCACGUUACCUGUCUGACA